rnacentral:rRNA from 1 species
GAUGAACGCUGGCGGCGUGCCUAAUACAUGCAAGUCGAGCGAACGGACGAGAAGCUUGCUUCUCUGAUGUUAGCGGCGAACGGGUGAGUAACACGUGGAUAACCUACCUAUAAGACUGGGAUAACUUCGGGAAACCGGAGCUAAUACCGGAUAAUAUUUUGAACCGCAUGGUUCAAUAGUGAAAGACGGUCUUGCUGUCACUUAUAGAUGGAUCCGCGCUGCAUUAGCUAGUUGGUAAGGUAACGGCUUACCAAGGCAACGAUGCAUAGCCGACCUGAGAGGGUGAUCGGCCACACUGGAACUGAGACACGGUCCAGACUCCUACGGGAGGCAGCAGUAGGGAAUCUUCCGCAAUGGGCGAAAGCCUGACGGAGCAACGCCGCGUGAGUGAUGAAGGUCUUCGGAUCGUAAAACUCUGUUAUUAGGGAAGAACAUAUGUGUAAGUAACUGUGCACAUCUUGACGGUACCUAAUCAGAAAGCCACGGCUAACUACGUG